rnacentral:rRNA from 1 species
UACGUAGGUGGCGAGCGUUGUCCGGAAUUACUGGGUGUAAAGCGCGUGUAGGCGGGAGGCCAAGUCUGCGGUGAAAUCGCUCGGCUCAACUGGGCGGGGUCCGUGGAAACUGGUCACCUGGAGGACGGUAGAGGCGAGUGGAAUUCCCGGUGUAGUGGUGAAAUGCGUAGAGAUCGGGAGGAACACCAGUGGCGAAGGCGGCUCGCUGGACCGGACCUGACGCUGAGACGCGAAGGCGUGGGAGGCGAACGGGAUA